rnacentral:rRNA from 4 species
AAUCCAUAGGUUAAUGAGGCGAACCGGGGGAACUGAAACAUCUAAGUACCCCGAGGAAAAGAAAUCAACCGAGAUUCCCCCAGUAGCGGCGAGCGAACGGGGAGGAGCCCAGAGCCUGAAUCAGCAUGUGUGUUAGUGGAAGCGUCUGGAAAGGCGCGCGAUACAGGGUGACAGCCCCGUACACAAAAGCGCAUGUGCUGUGAGCUCGAUGAGUAGGGCGGGACACGUGGUAUCCUGUCUGAAUAUGGGGGGACCAUCCUCCAAGGCUAAAUACUCCUGACUGACCGAUAGUGAACCAGUACCGUGAGGGAAAGGCGAAAAGAACCCCGGCGAGGGGAGUGAAAAAGAACCUGAAACCGUGUACGUACAAGCAGUGGGAGCACCCUUUGGGUGUGACUGCG